GACAGAGGGUGCAAACGUUGCUCGGAAUUACUGGGCGUAAAGCGCGUGUAGGCGGGCCGGCAAGUCGGGCGUGAAAUCCCUGGGCUCAACCCAGGAACUGCACUCGAAACUUCCGGUCUAGAGUGGUGGAGAGGGAAGUGGAAUUCCUGGUGUAGAGGUGAAAUUCGUAGAUAUCAGGAGGAACACCAGUGGCGAAGGCGGCUUCCUGGACACCAACUGACGCUGAGACGCGAAAGCGUGGGGAGCAAACAGG
rnacentral:rRNA from 1 species